rnacentral:sRNA from 1 species
AUCCCAGGGGAAACCUGACGGCCAGGGCCCCUCGUGCCAGCUGCCGGGAGGCGGGAGGGAGUGCCCUGAAACUCUAAUCUCAUUGCCUGGCCAGAAAAGGAAGUAAUCCCUAGUGUCAGCAGAUUCAGCGGUACUGGUAUAUAAUAGGAUCACCAAUAUACAACAGGAAAAAACAAAAGUGAAAGAUUAUCAAUAUAGAUUAUUGAGUAGGAGUAAAGAAGGUAAAUCAAAAAGGGGAAAAGAGAUUACAGACACAGAAAAUGUCAGACAACAAAGAAAGGAAGAGUCAAGGAUUUCCUAAAGAAGAUAACCAAGACACAAGUUCAUUAGCUGAUGCUAUAGAGAAAGUUGCAAAGCAACAACAAUCACAAGCAUCAGAGAUAGAAAAAAACAAAAAGGUUCUGUUCAAUUUGAAGAAUGAACUUCAUGAGCUUGAAAAAGAAAUAGCAGCUAUCUCUGCAGAAACUAAAGAAACAGAAAGACAAAUUUAUCAACAAGAUGCUGCCAUAGAGAAUACCAAACUUCAUUGUGAUAGCCUGGAAACUCAAAUCAAAUCCUUACAUUCAGAAAAUGUAAAGCUUAAAUUUGACAUAGAAACAGCCCAAGAAGAUUUUGAGGAACACAUGAAAAAAUAUAACGCAUAUUAUGCAAAAAUAAAAGCACAUAAAAAUAGUUUGGGGGAAGUAGAGAGCAAAUGGUCAUUUAUGACUGAACUCCAUGAAAAGCGAGAUUUUGUUAAAAAAUUAAAGACAAUGAAAGAAGAACUUAUGCAAGAUCUUCAAAAUCCAGGAGGGAACCGAAUAACACAAGUACAGGAAGACAUUACAAACUUAAAGGAUAAAAUUAUAACUGUAAAAGAAUCUAUCAUUGAAAAAACUUGUUUUCUUGAGGAAGAAAAAAAGACACAUGAAAAAUUAAGAAAAGAAAUAGAGAGUCUCGCCCCAUCGCCCAGGCUGGAGUGCAGUAGUGCAAUCUCGGCUCACUGCAAGCUCUGCCUCCCAGGUUCACGCCAUUCUCCUGCCUCAGCCUCCGGAGUAGCUGGGACUACAGGCGCCCGCCACCACGCCCUGCUAAUUUUUUGCAUUUUUAGUAGAGACGGGGUUUCACCUUGUUAGCCAGGAUGGUCUUGAUCUCCUGACCUCAUGAUCCACCCGCCUCGGCCUCCCAAAGUGUUGGGAUUACAGGCGUGAGCCACCGCGCCCGGCCUUAAUUUAACUUUUAAGUUCAGGGGUGUGUAUGCACGUUUGUUAUAUAGAUACAUUUCUGUCAUAGUUUGUUGUACAGAUUAUUUCAAUAGCCAGGUAUUAAGCCUAGUACCCAUUAGUUAUUUUUCCUGAUCCUUUCCCUCCUCUCACCGUCCAGUGUGUGUUGUUUCCCUCUAUGUGUCCAUAAGUUCUCAUCAUUUAGCUCCCACUUAUAAGUGAGAACAUCCAGUAUUUGGUUUUCUGUUCCUGCAUUAAUUCACUUAGGAUAGUGGCCUCCAGCUCCAUUCAUGUUCCUGCAAAGGACAUAAUCUCAUUCUUUUUAUGGCUGCAUAGUAUUUCAUGGUGUAUAUGUACCACAUUUUCUUUAUCCAGACUACCACUGAUGGGCAUUUAGGUUGAUUCCAUGUCUUUGCUAUUGUGAAUAUUGUUGCAAUGCACUUACACGUGUAUGUGUCUUUAUGAUAGAAUGAUUUAUAUUCCUUUGGGUAUAUAAUCAGUAAUGGGAUUGCUGGGUUGAAUGAGAUUCUGUUUUUAAGUCUGAGGAAUUGCCACACUGUCUUCCACAAUGGUUGAACUAAUUUACACUCCCACCAACAGUGUAUAAGUGUUCUUUUUCUCUGCAACCUUGUCAGCAUGUUUUUUGUUUGUUUGUUUGUUUUGUUUUAUUUUUUUACUUUUUGAUACUAGUGAUGAUGGUAUCUCCUUGUGGUUUUGGUUUACAUUUCCCUAAUGAUUCAUGAUGCUGAACUUUUUUUUGGUAGUUUAAUAGGAAUAGCAUCAAAUCUAUACAUUGCUUUGGAUAGUAUGGCCAUUUUAAUGAUACUGAUUCUUCCUAUCCAUGAGCAUGGAAUGUUUUUCCAUUUGUUUAUGUCAUCUCUAAUUUAUUUGAGCAGUAUUUUAUAGUUCUACUUGUAGAGAUCUUUUACCUCCCUGAUUAGCUGUGUUCUUAGGGGUGUGUGUGUGUGUGUGUCUGUGUGUGUGUGGCAACUGUGAAUGGGAUUUGGCUCAGCUUGAUUGGUGUUAUAUAGGAGUGCUAGUGAUUUUUGCAUAUUGAUUUUGUAUCCUAAGACUUUGCUGAAGUUGUUUAUCAGCUUAAGAAGCUUUUGGGCCAGGACUGUUGGGUUUUCUAGAUAUAGCAUCAUGUCGUCUGCAAACAGGGCUAGUUUGGCUUCCUCUCUUCUUAUUUGUAUAUGUUUUAUUUCUUUCUCUUGCCUGAUUGCUCUGGCCAGGACUUCGCAUACUAUGUCAAGUAAGAGUAGUGAGAGAGGGGAUCCUUGUCUUUUGCUGGUUUUCAAGAGGAAUGCCUCUGGGUUUUGCCCAUUGAGUAUGAUGUUGGCUGUGGGUUUGUCAUAGAUGGCUCUUAUUAUUUUCAGGUAUGUUCCUUCAGUACUUAGUUUAUUGAGAGUUUUUAACAUGAAUGGUUGUUAAAUUGUAUCGACAGUCUUUUCUGCAUCUAUUGAGAUAAUUCAUGUUGUGUUUGUCUUCAGUUCUGUUUAUAUGAUGAAUCAUAUUUAUUGAUUUGCAUAUGUUGAACCAAACUUGCAUCCCAGGUAUAAAGCUUACUUGAUGGUGAUGGAUAAGCUUUUUGAUGUGCUUCUGGAUUCAAUUUAACAGUAUUUUGUUGGGGAUUUGUGCAUCGAUGUUCAUCAAGGAUAUUGACCUGAAGUUUCCUUUUUGUUACGUCUCUUUCAGGUUUUGGUAUCAGGAUGAUUCUGGCCUCAUAGAAUGAGUUAGGGAGGAGUCCCUCCUCCUCAAUUUUUUGGAAUAGUUUUGGCAGGAAUGGUACCAGCUCUUCUUUGUAUAUCUGAUAGAAUUAAGCUGUGAACCCAUCUGGUACUGGGCUUUUUUCAGUUGGUAGGCUAUUUAUUACUGAAUUAAUUCCAGAGCUUGUUACUGGUCUGUUCAGAGAUUCGAUUUCUUCCCUGUUCAGUCUUGGGAGGGUGUAUGUGUCCAGGAAUUUAUCCAUUUCUUCUAGAUUUCCUAGCUUAUGUGUGUAGGGGUGUUCAUAAUAUUCUCUGAUGGUUAUUUGUAUUUCUGUGGGGUCAGUGGUGAUAUCCUCCUCAUUUCUGAUUAGGUUUAUUUUGAUCUUCUCUAUUUUCUUCUGUAUUAGUCUAGCUAGCAGUUUAUCUGUUUUAUUAAUUUUUUCAAAAAACCAGCUCCUAGAUUCACUGAUCUUUUUGAAGGGUUUUUUUUGGUCUCAGUCUCCUUCAGCUCUGAUUUUGGUUAUUGUCUUCUACUAGCUUUGGGCUUGGUUUGCUUUUG